UAUCCUUGGCAGGAUAGCUCAGUUGGCUAAUGCGUUUUUUACUUCGAGUCCUGCUGCGGGCUACUAUUGUUUUCCUUUUUUAAAUUUUAUUUUUGAUUUUUUACUGGAGCUUUUAAAAUUUAAUGUUUACAUUUAUCAAUAUAAAGCAUUUAAUGACAAACUUCAAAACAUGCCAAAAUCUGUGAAAAGGCCCCUUUAAUGUGACGCCAUUCUGUAAUCUUUAUGCACGGUUCGCACAUCAUAGGUGUCAAAGUGGUCAUUAUCGAUUGAUACUACCAUUGUUGUUAUAGCAAUUAUUGAUUUAAUGCGGUUUUUAACCAGGUUUUCCGAAGGAAAAAACUGGUUAUUAGAUUGGCGAAUGCGGGCGGGCUGGCUGGCUGGCGGGCUGGCGGGCUGGCUGGCUGGCGGGCUGGCGGGCUGGCGGAAUAAGCUUGUCCGGGCCAUAACUAUGUCGUUCAUUGUCAGAUUUUAAAAUCAUUUGGCACAUUUGUUCACCAUCAUUGGACGGUGUGUCGCGCGAAAUAAUUACGUCGAUAUCUCCAAGGUCAAGGUCACACUUUGAGUUCAAAGGUCAAAAAUGGCCAUAAAUGAGCUUGUCCUGGCCAUAACUAUGUCAUUCAUUGUGAGAUUUUAAAAUCAUUUGGCACAUUUGUUCACCAUCAUGGGACGGUGUGUCCCACGAAAGAAUCACGUCAAUAUCUCCAAUGUCAAGGUCGCCACGACUAAAAAUAGAUUUAAAAAAAAAAAAACUUACAAAGGGGGUUAAUUUUUUUUGGUCAUUUCAAAAGUUCAGUUUGAGUUUUCUCCCUUUAUCAGAUUUUUUUUUCACAAUGAAAACCUAGUUUUGUGACAAUUUUGUCCCU